UACAUCUUCCCUGCUGCUGCUGGAGCAGGAUGCUGAGGAGAACUGAGACUGCCCAGAAGAGUCUGCACAAGCCUCCAGAGAACCCUGCAACUACUGAUGCUGAGGAGCCGCUAUUACUACCCUUGGCCAUAUAUCCUGGGAAGACUGAAGAUGACCCCUGGACACAGGUAUUUGAGAAAUUGCUUCUCUUCUCAAAGAACUCAAGUGUGGAACUAGACUACUGAAAUGUACUCUACACAUCGUUACUUCAUUAGAAUGAUUUGGAGACUGAAGCUGAUCCAGAAUGCAACAGCUUGCUUAUUGAUACCAGUGCUCUGGGAUCUACACUGUCUCCAGUUGGAAUUUAAGUUGUUGACCUGUAAAUCAUCAAAUGCC